rnacentral:rRNA from 1 species
ACGGGACCGCACAAGCGGUGGAUGAUGUGGUUAAUUCGAUGCAACGCGAAAACCUUACCCACCUUUGACAUGUACGGAAUCCUUUAGAGAUAGAGGAGUGCUCGAAAGAGAACCUGCACACAGGUGCUGCAUGGCUGUCGUCAGCUCGUGUCGUGAGAUGUUGGGUUAAGUCCCGCAACGAGCGCAACCCUUGUCAUUAGUUGCUACAUUCAGUUGGGCACUCUAAUGAGACUGCCGGUGACAAACCGGAGGAAGGUGGGGAUGACGUCAAGUCCUCAUGGCCCUUAUAGGUGGGGCUACACACGUCAUACAGUGGAUGGUACAAAGGGUCGCCAACCCGCGAGGGGGAGCCAAUCCCAUAAAGCCAUUCGUAGUCCGGAUCGCAGUCUGCAACUCGACUGCGUGAAGUCGGAAUCGCUAGUAAUCGUGGAUCAGAAUGUCACGGUGAAUACGUUCCCGGGUCUU